rnacentral:rRNA from 1 species
NACGCCCUCAGAUCGAGCGAGACUUACCCGCUGAACUUAAGCAUAUCAAUAAGCGGAGGAAGAGAAACCAACAGGGAUUCCCUCAGUAACGGCGAGCGAAGUGGGAUGACUGCCCAGGUCUUUAAUCUCCGAUCGGGCUACUGUUGUCGAUCGGCGAAUUGUGGUCUGGAGAGGCAAACUGUCCCGAUCCACCGCUCCUUUGUUUGGGCCCGAAGUCGACUUGGAACGGCGUGCCUAGAGGGUGAGAGNCCCGUAGGGCANGGAAACCGGGAGCGGCGGGGCGAGAGUUUGUGCUCGUAGAGUCGGGUUGUUUGGGAUUGCAGCCCAAAGCGGGUGGUAGACUCCAUCCAAGGNUGAAUACUGGUGCGAGACCGAUAGCGAACAAGUACCGUGAGGGAANNNN